GUGAGGAAUUUUCCGCAAUGGGCGAAAGCCUGACGGAGUAAUGCCGCGUGAAGGAUGAAGGCCUAUGGGUUGUAAACUUCUUUUCUCAGAAAAGAAUUAUGACGGUAUCUGAGGAAUAAGCAUCGGCUAACUCUGUGCCAGCAGCCGCGGUAAGACAGAGGAUGCAAGCGUUAUCCGGAAUGAUUGGGCGUAAAGCGUCUGUAGGUUGUUUAAAAAGUAUUCUGUCAAAGAUUAGGGCUUAACCCUAGAUAGGCAGAAUAAACUUUUAAGCUAGAGUUUGGUAGAGGCAGAGGGAAUUCCCGGUGGAGCGGUGAAAUGCGUAGAUAUCGGGAGGAACACCAAAGGCGAAGGCACUCUGCUGGGCCAAUACUAACACUGAGAGACGAAAGCGAGGGGAGCAAAUGGGAUUAGAAACCCGAGUAGUCC
rnacentral:rRNA from 1 species